CUGAAACACCGGUUUGCAUAUGAUCGCUGAAGAUAAACAACAUCAAGCCUGGCCAGUACCUAGAUGAGUGACCACUUAGGAAUACCAGGUGCUGUAAG